GACGAACGCUGGCGGCGUGCUUAACACAUGCAAGUCGAACGGAAAGGCCCUGCUUGCGGGGUGCUCUCGUGGCGAACGGGUGAGUAACACGUGGGUGAUCUCCCCCUUACUUUGGGAUAAGCCUGGGAAACUGGGUCUAAUACUGGAUAGGACCAUUCUUUAGGUGGUGUGGUGGAUAGAUUAGUUUCGGUAGGGGGUGAGCUCGCGGCCUAUCAGCUCGUUGGUGGGGUGAUGGCCUAUCAAGGCGUUGCCGGGUGGCCGGCGUGAGAGGGUGGGAGGCAACAUUGGGACUGAGAAGCGACGCAGAAGAAUGCGAGAGGCAGCAGGGGGGAAGAUUGUAAAAGAGGGGGAAGCAGGAUGAAGCGACGCCGCGUGGGGGGUGACGGCCGUCGGGUUGUAAACAACUGACAGCGAUGGCGAAGAACUUGUGGUGACGGUAGUGGGAGAAGAAGCACCGGCUAACUACGUG
rnacentral:rRNA from 1 species